rnacentral:pre_miRNA from 1 species
AAAGUACUCCCUCCGUCCCAAAAUUCUUGUCUUAGAUUUGUCUAGAUACGGAUGUAUCAAGUCACAUUUUAGUAUUAGAUACAUCCGUAUCUAGACAAAUCUAAGACAAGAAAUUUGGGACAGAAGGAGUAGUUG